AUUGAACGCUGGCGGCAGGCCUAACACAUGCGAGUCGAACGGUAACAGGAAACAGCUUGCUGUUUCGCUGACGAGUGGCGGACGGGUGAGUAAUGUCUGGGAAACUGCCUGAUGGAGGGGGAUAACUACUGGAAACGGUAGCUAAUACCGCAUAACGUCGCAAGACCAAAGAGGGGGACCUUCGGGCCUCUUGCCAUCGGAUGUGCCCAGAUGGGAUUAGCUAGUAGGUGGGGUAAUGGCUCACCUAGGCGACGAUCCCUAGCUGGUCUGAGAGGAUGACCAGCCACACUGGAACUGAGACACGGUCCAGACUCCUACGGGAGGCAGCAGUGGGGAAUAUUGCACAAUGGGCGCAAGCCUGAUGCAGCCAUGCCGCGUGUAUGAAGAAGGCCUUCGGGUUGUAAAGUACUUUCAGCGGGGAGGAAGGGAGUAAAGUUAGUACCUUUGCUCAUUGACGUUACCCGCAGAAGAAGCACCGGCUAACUCCGUG
rnacentral:rRNA from 1 species